ACCGGCUUCCGCCGCUUGCGACUGGCGUAGGUGAUGUUGGCGCUGCUGCUGUUCAUGGUGCCCAGCCGACGGCGGCGGCUACUCCCCGGGCACUGGCGGCCGGGUCCCCGGAACCCGGUGUAGGCUGGGACCACUGCGGCGGCCGGCGCCGGGUUCCGCGAAGCCGCGCCCGCUCCACCUGCGUCCUCUCGGGACAGUGGCGUGGGCGCCGCGCCUCAACGCCUCGGCUCACGCAGGCUUCCGCAGCCCGCGCCAGUACAGCUUGCAACACCAUGAAAAAAUUACUGAGACACUAGGAAUGCUGUGAACUGAGAAAGUUUGGGACCUUUGGCAUAACUAAAUCCUUCAUUUAACAGAUGGAGUCUCAGUCUGUCACUAAGGCUGGAGUGCAGUGGCGCGAUCUCGGCUCACUGCAACCUCCACCUCCCGGGUUCACGCGAUUCUCCAGCCUCAGCCUUCCACGUAGCUGGGACUACAGGUGCAUGCCACCACACCCAGUGUUGUGAACCACUUGUCAUGGGAUAACCAAAAUUAAACCUGGAAUCGCAGAAGAAACAAAUUUUUUGAAGAAAUUGGAUGUACUUUUUUAAAAUUUUUCAUUCAACUAAAACUUUGUUAACUGUUUCUUGGUUGUGGUCUUCUCUAAAUUGUAAUCUUUGGCAUUCACUUCCAAAGUAUCCACCACUAAACUUCAUAACAUUUAUUGUGUCUCUUCAUCAUUAAACUUUGAUGAAUUUACAGAGUGUCUUUUGAAAUUAUGUUCUUGAGAAAGGUAAGUUCCCUAAAAAUCCCACCACCUCAGGAACAGAAUUUUCUAAAACUGUUGUAUCUACCUAAGUUACCUAUUUUUGUCUUUUGUCUGGAGUCCACUUGUCCUCAAAACAAAAUUAAUGUUGUAUUCCCUUUUGGUCAAGGACACAUUAAACAUUUCGUGCAGCAUGCACAUUUUUCAGGGAUGUAGAAUCAUAAACAAUUAUUUUUAUACACUUCUUAUGACAUAGGGUGACUUUUACAAUGUGCUGUGCUAUUUAAAGUUAAAUGUUCACCACUACAUAUUGUACCUGUGAAAAGAUUAUAGGUUAGCUUUGAUAAUUUAAAAUAUUUUUGCUACAGCCA
rnacentral:lncRNA from 1 species